rnacentral:rRNA from 1 species
GACGAACGCUGGCGGCGUGCUUAACACAUGCAAGUCGAACGAUGAAGCCGGAGCUUGCUCUGGUGGAUUAGUGGCGAACGGGUGAGUAACACGUGAGUAACCUGCCCUUGACUCUGGGAUAAGCGUUGGAAACGACGUCUAAUACCGGAUACGAGCUGGGAUCGCAUGAUCACCAGCUGGAAAGAAUUUCGGUCAAGGAUGGACUCGCGGCCUAUCAGUUAGUUGGUGAGGUAACGGCUCACCAAGACUACGACGGGUAGCUGGCCUGGGAGGGUGACCGGCCACACUGGGACUGAGACACGGCCCAGACUCCUACGGGAGGCAGCAGUGGGGAAUAUUGCACAAUGGGCGCAAGCCUGAUGCAGCAACGCCGCGUGAGGGACGACGGCCUUCGGGUUGUAAACCUCUUUUAGCAGGGAAGAAGCGCAAGUGACGGUACCUGCAGAAAAAGCACCGGCUAACUACGUGCCAGCCGCCGCCGUAAAAC